rnacentral:rRNA from 1 species
CAAGUCGAGCGCGAAAAGGGCAACCUGAGUAGAGCGGCGCACGGGUGCGUAACACGUGGGUAAUCUGCCUCAAAGUCUGGGAUAACCUUCCGAAAGGUUGGCUAAUACUGGAUAAGCUCACGGGGUCUUUGGACUCUGUGGGAAAAGGUGGCCUCUAUUUAUAAGCCAUCCCUUUGAGAUGAGCCCGCGGCCCAUCAGCUAGUUGGCGGGGUAAAAGCCCACCAAGGCUACGACGGGUAGCUGGUCUGAGAGGACGAUCAGCCACACUGGAACUGAGACACGGUCCAGACUCCUACGGGAGGCAGCAGUGGGGAAUUUUGCACAAUGGGCGAAAGCCUGAUGCAGCAACGCCGCGUGUGUGAUGAAGGUCUUCGGAUCGUAAAGCACUUUCGACCGGGACGAACAACCUCUGGCUAACAGUCAGGGGCCUGACGGUACCGGGAGAAGAAGCACCGGCUAACUCUGUGCCAGCAGCCGCGGUAAUACAGAGGGUGCAAGCGUUGUUCGGAAUUAUUGGGCGUAAAGCGCGUGUAGGCGGCUUGUUAAGUCGGGUGUGAAAGCCCUCAGCUCAACUGAGGAAGGGCGCCCGAAACUGGCGAGCUUGAGUGUCGGAAAGGAUGGCGGAAUACCCCAAGUAGAGGUGAAAUUCGUAAUUUUGGGGUGGAACACCCGUGGGCGAAGGCGGCCAUCUGGACGACAACUGACGCUUAGACGCGAAAGCGUGGGGAGCAAACAGGAUUAGAUACCCUGGUAGUCCACGCCGUAAACGAUGA